ensembl:lncRNA
CUGUCAUUCUGCACCUGAAAAGGGCAGUUAACCCACUGUUCCUAGGCCGCCAUUGUAAAUAAGAAUAUGUGACUUGCCUAGUUAAAUUAAGAUUACAUAAAGAAAUGGACCAGCUUGGCUUUGUGCCAAGCCAUGUAAUAAAGUCUAUAUAAAUGUAAUGUUCCGGUAUGCUCAACGCUAGCUGGGUACGUUAGCUUACUAGGUACAUUGAUAGCUUUAGGUUGGUUGUUUUUAUGUUAAACUUCAAGAUUUACACCAAGGACGUUGCCUCUCGGAUCAUCACUCUCCCUCGCUUGGGCAAUGGACAUUUAAGGCACUCGGAUGUAAAACGCAAUUCAAGGGUUGAGGGUUUAGCCGAAGGCUGUUGAGUUUGAAACGCAGCUGGAAGGCAAUCGGGAAGAUGCAAGAUCAGGUGGGACCAUUAUAGUCAAUGAGAGGGCAGAUAUGCGUGUUGCCACAAAGUCAAACGUCUAUAUCGUAUUUAAGUUUAGGCAUAAAGGUAGUGUUUUCAAUGUUAGGGUUAAAAUCAAUUUAAAAAAUAUCAGUUGUAGAAAUGGGUGUGUUCUAUGGCUUUGUUUGUGGUAACUAGUGAUGACCAGGCACUACUUCCAUACAAAGUGUUUUUUUCCUCAAAGUUGCCUGGAUGUGACGUGUCCUACUUUUACCAAUACACUCCUAACAACCUACUCGUUACGAAAAUGUAUAUAUGAUCAAAUAAGCCAGAAGCCAGAUUUUGGGCCCAGUUAUCCCUCUUGCUUCUCCUCUUCCGUGCUGUUCGAUAGGAAAUGACUGCUAUAAAGAAAUACGGUGGAAACUAGCCCAUACCCACCAAUCCAACGCUCUUAGAUUUGUGGUUUAUAGUGAACGAUUGAACAUUUCAGGAGUCCCCCUCCACCCUCCAGGAGUCCCCAGGUCGACUGCCUCUCCGAACUUUACUGCUGGUUCUGGUCGACUGCAGGAAAACACCGGGGCAGAGUGGAACUGAGAGACUAGAAGAGGAACAUGGAGAUAUGAUUUCAUUAAGUAAGAACCAUGUGGAUUAGAUUACAGUCUGCUUCUGUAACAAUGAAUUGAUUCAUUAUGUACUGAUGAAAAUAUCUGGUC